rnacentral:rRNA from 1 species
GACGUAGGGCGCGAGCGUUGUCCGGAUUAUUGGGCGUAAAGAGCUCGUAGGCGGCUUGUCGCGUCGACUGUGAAAUCCCGCGGCUCAACUGCGGGUCUGCAGUCGAUACGGGCAGGCUAGAGUUCGGUAGGGGAGACUGGAAUUCCUGGUGUAGCGGUGAAAUGCGCAGAUAUCAGGAGGAACACCGGUGGCGAAGGCGGGGUCUCUGGG